rnacentral:lncRNA from 1 species
AAAAACACUAGUUAUGGAUGAUGAAAAAAAUAAGAUUUAAAAUUAAUGCGUCGAGGAAGUUGAUGACGGAGCAUCAUAUGAUAGUUUAGGCUUUCUUCUUAGUAGUUUUUUUGUAUUCGAAGACAAAUAAGAAGUAAUUUAGAGGAGUUGUCAAUGGUUUGAGAAAAAUAUUGUAUUAUUUUCAUCCGAGUCGAUGUGAUUCACUUUUGACCUAAAUUAUGCAACUCUAAAGGUGUUUUGUAGUGAGGACUCAUGUAAAUUGGCAAAUCAAAACAUCAUGUGAGGGAUAAGGAUAUGAAGUUUGAACACCAAUGAUUUUUAAAAGGUUUUUGAAGGCAGUGCAAGAUAAAGAAAAUUCAUUUCAAAAGUUCUAAGGUAUUUUUGAGGUAGUUCUUCAUAAACGGGAUAAAAAGAAGCAAGAACUCGCACAGGAGGGGCUACCAGAAACGCCCAUGUGCCUAGCGAAAGCUCCCCUCCACAUGAGGCAUCAUUUUCUACUGCCUCAUGUGCCACUACACAUGCUCUCAUUUGCCAUGCGCCUGGCUGCGGGUAGAAAAGGCAGUUUGCUUGUUUUCCAAGUUGGAUUGGUGGAAAAGGCCUAGUUUUCUUUUUUUAAACCCUAAGUAAUGAUGCACCAUAAAUAGAGACUCUUGCACACACUUUUAUUCAUUGAGAAAGCUAGCGGUUCAAGGCAAGGGUCAAGCAUCAUAGCUUCAAGGUAGAGGAUCGCCAUCCUCUUCUUAUUUUCUCUAAUGUAUGUUUUUCUAUUGUUUUGUAAUGAUGUACGUUACCAUGUGUAAAUAACGUCUUUGAUUAGGGUUCCAAUAUGAACCCUUUCUUAUUUGUUGAAUUCAAUGAAUAAAGUUUCUCGUUCAGUUUAUGUUUCGAUUGGCAGAUUUUAUUUUCUACAUGCCUGUUCUAUAAUGCCUUUUCAAGUGAGAAUCUAUAUCGGUAAUCUUGUAAAAUCAUCUCUAGGGGAAUAGAAGGCCUGACAACCAAAGGUUCUUUCCGACCCUUGCAGUAGUAAAAUUGCUUAUUUUCUUAAUUAAGGUUUAAGCAUGAAUCUAGGGGUUUUUAACUCAUCUUAAGGGACCCC